UCUGUUCAUAUGCAAACACUGGAAUGUGUAGAUUUCACUUCACUUUCAUAGAAGCAUUAGAUUUGUUCAAAAACCUGAAGUAUGAGCCACUUAAAUGGAAUUUAGAUACUUAUUCUACUAGACACUUGAUACAACUUCUGAAAGGAUAGUUAUUUAAAAACUCAUUCAUCACUUAAUGUUCAAAGUUCAUUCAUCAUGAAUACUUUAUGUCAUUCUUAAAAAAAUUAUCAGAGAUUCAAAUUUCUGCAAGGCUCAUUGUGUUAUGUCCAUAUGGUACAUUUUGCAGCUAACAAAAGAAGGGAAAUAACAUCCUAAUCUGCUUUAUUCAUUCAUCUGCUCUCUUUAUUUCAUUCAGGAGGGUUUUUAACAUAAAGAGUUUCAGUGAUGAUAGAAGCUGCAGAAGUAAUGCUGGGAAUGCGUUAUUGGAUGCAAAUGCUGGAGAAGAGCGAGGAGCUCAAGUGCUUCUUCCUGUCUGCUUUGUGUAACUGAGACUAUGUUUCCAGCAGGAAGAGAGAGAGGUUUUCUGUAAGGGAAAAAGCACACAGGGGUUGUAUUUUUUGCAGUAGAAUACUCAGGUUAAAAGACUAACUUAAUAAGGUUUGGGGAUAAAUGCUUAUAAAAAAAAUGAGAUAACACUUAAAGUAUACUAAGGCAAUUUAAUGAGCACUGAGUCUAAACCAGCACUGUCCAACACAUUUCAAGCUACUAUGUUUUUCAGAUUAUAAGACGCACCACCCACUGCCCAAAUUUGGGAGGAAAAGGGGGUGCAUCUUAUAGUCCAAAUGCAGCUUACCUGGCUUGUGGUGGAAGGGGAGUGGCGGUGGAGCGGGGUCAUAGGUUAUUAAAUAUUUUACCACAUUUUUUGCUUCAAAUUUUUUUUUCUAUUUUCCUCCUCUAAAACCUAGGUGCAUCUUGUGGUUCGGUGUGUCUAAUAGUCCUAAAAAUAUAGUACUUUAAAGGGGACU